rnacentral:tRNA from 1 species
CGGGGUGUAGUCGAGUGACCUCAGACAGCCGGCUUUGAACCGGUGCACGCAGGUUCGAAUCCUGUCACCCCUGCCA